UCCUUGAUAAAUCAUUAUGUCUAGUAUGGAUUUCCAUAGAUUGUCCUUAGUGACUAGUGUUGUUUAUGGGUGAUUGAUUUGAGAGGUUUUGGUUGGUUAAAAGUUUAGGUCAGGUGAUUUUCUUAGAGUGUUUUCUAGUCUAUUCAAUUAUCUUUGAAUAUAACACUUUUGUCAGUUAAGAUGAAUGGUUGCAUUUCCUAUAUACUAUGCUAUUUCUUUUUAUGGGACUUUAAUAAUUGCAGUUCAGGUCAGUUUUUUUUUUAAUCACAUUGAUGCCAAAGUAUGAAUGAAAUGAGAUUAUCAAUUCUUUUGCAUUGUAUGCUUUAAAUAUAAUUGUGAAUAUUAUUUCUUGCAUAUAGAGUUACCUGAUGUGUUGAUUGGUCGUACUGGUCUGGUACCACAUAUUGGGCUAUAAUUUACAGUGCCAUCAAUACAAUAUUGAAAACAGCGAUUGUAUUUUUUUUUAUGGUUACUUGGAACCUGGUAGCAUAUAAGGGAAAAUUCUUCCAUAUAUCUAAUUUUAGGGGAGUGGGGUUAUGAUUUAAACGGGGGUGCGCAAGGCUACACUUAAAGUUGUGAUCCGCUUUCACGUUUGAAAAGAGAAGACGUUGAAUAUCGACUUUGAAAGAUAUUAUGUGGAUAUUACGGAGUUAACAGAAGACUGAGGUGGAUGAACAUGAAGAACAGGGCGGCAGUCGUCAGGUGUAGACAAAUCAUUUAUAGACAGGACAGAGGACGCAGCUCAAAUGAAUCUCUGGAAAGAACUAAACAUCGCAGAGAAGAAUGUGGAAGUGCACGAAGGUUUCUAACGACGCCUAGCUUCGAUGUCCCGACAUAAACUUGGAAACCGACAUCAAUCACCUUAUAGCUGCUGUGACACGGAAGCAGUGUGGUGUGUAGGUCUUAAUGCACGUUGACAACUUGUCGGCCAUACAUCCUGUGAAUGACCCUUUUGCUAAAGCCUAAUGUCCAAUUAUGCAUCACCGAUGACCAGGGGGAAGUUGUAGCAGGCGAAAUUUUAGACAUACAUUAGUAACUAAAGACAUUGUUUACAGAAAUGCUUUUAUCAAUUGUUGAUGAAAAUUCACUGCAUGGAAUAGAAAUAAAACCAUAAUUACAUUUUAUGAUGUUCAUUUCAUCUAUUGAUAGACUUCUGUAGUAAGUGAGAGCGAUUGCUAGAUGUGUAUUGCCUUAGUAAAAGUAGUACCUAUUACCUACUUUUAACAAAUGUUCAUACGCACAGCCCCGUAGUGGAUUUAUGCAGUGAUAUCAUAAAUACAUAUUGCUCGUAAUAGUGUUAUGUAGGAGAAUACAGUUGAAAAUGUAAAUAUAUGAGAUUUAAAUUAUAUGGCGAAAUACAUGUCCUCGCCCUUCAUUCGAUUUUGACCAAAAUUUUAAAGUUUCAUGGGUAAGGUUUAAUUUUUCAUUAGUUUGCUGUAUUUUACUUUUAUUAAGCGUUGUAAUUGAUACAAUUAGU